rnacentral:rRNA from 1 species
GGACUACCGGGGUAUCUAAUCCCGUUCGCUCCCCUAGCUUUCGCGUUUCAGCGUCAGGUGCAGUCCAGGUGGCCGCUUUCGCCACUGGUGUUCCUCCGGAUCUCUACGCAUUUCACCACUACACCCGGAAUUCCACCACCCUCUACUGCCCUCCAGUCUGACAGUAUCGGACAACCUCUCCCGGUUGAGCCGAGAGAUUUCAUGCCCGACUUGCCAAACCGCCUGAACGCGCUUUACGCCCAGUAAAUCCGGAUAACGCUCGGUACCUACGUUUUACCGCGGCUGCUGGCAC